rnacentral:rRNA from 1 species
AUUGAACGCUGGCGGCAUGCCUUACACAUGCAAGUCGAACGGUAACGGGCCUUCGGGUGCCGACGAGUGGCGAACGGGUGAGUAAUGUAUCGGAACGUACCUUCAGUGGGGGAUAACGUAGCGAAAGUUACGCUAAUACCGCAUAUUCUGUGAGCAGGAAAGCAGGGGAUCGCAAGACCUUGCGCUGAUUGAGCGGCCGAUAUCAGAUUAGCUAGUUGGUGAGGUAAAGGCUCACCAAGGCGACGAUCUGUAGCGGGUCUGAGAGGAUGAUCCGCCACACUGGAACUGAGACACGGUCCAGACUCCUACGGGAGGCAGCAGUGGGGAAUUUUGGACAAUGGGGGCAACCCUGAUCCAGCCAUGCCGCGUGAGUGAAGAAGGCCUUCGGGUUGUAAAGCUCUUUCGGCCGGGAAGAAAUCGUAUGGGUUAAUACCCUGUGCGGAUGACGGUACCGGCAUAAGAAGCACCGGCUAACUACGUG